GCAGACCAUUGAUUUAUCCGGUAAUCCGCAGCUUCAAGGUUCCUUACCAGAAUUUCCGAAGAAUGGCUCUCUUCGAUCGCUGGUUCUCAAUGGGGCAAAUUUCUUAGGCCAGAUGCUUCCGAACUCUAUUGGGAACCUCAAAUUGCUGUCCAACAUAGAUAUUGGAAAUUGCAAUUUCACUGGAUCAAUCCCCAAGUCAAUGGAAGACCUUACACAGUUGGUUUAUUUGGACUUGUCGAUGAACAAGUUCAAUGGUUCAGUUCCAUCUUUCAGUAUGGCCAAGAAUCUGACCCUAAUAGAUGUUUCUUACAAUCAGCUAACGGGUCAGAUUAAUUCCUCACUCUGGGAAAACCUGACUAGUCUGGUGAAUCUCGACUUGCGACGCAAUCUACUUAAUGGGACUAUUCCACCAUCUGUGUUUUCUCUUCCCACGCUACAGAAGCUACAGCUUUCUAACAAUGAAUUUUCAGGUCAGUUGCUUGAAUUUGAUGCUAUAUCUGCACUGGACACCCUUGAUUUGAGUAGCAACAAGUUGGAAGGGCCAAUUCCCAAGUCUAUCUUGAAAUUCCGAGGGCUUAAGAUUCUUUUACUAUCUUCAAACAACUUCACUGGCUCUUUUCUUCUGAAUGAUAUUCAGCAGCUAAAAAAUCUUUCGAGUCUCGAUCUUUCAUACAAUAGCUUGUCUAUUAAUUACACUGAGACCAAUUCCUCUCAUUCUUCAUUUCCAAAUAUUACCACGUUGAAGUUAGUUGCUGGCAAUUUGACAAGAAUCCCAAGUUUCUUAAGAAGUCAAUCAAAAUUAAGCACUUUGGACCUAUCACAAAACCAGAUUCAUGGUGAGAUACCCAACUGGAUUUGGAGGCUCAGUAAUCUUGUUCAACUAAAUCUUUCUUGCAACUCUCUGGAAACUCUAGAAGGUCAUUUCCUCAAUCUUACUUCUAUUUUGUCUGUGCUUGACCUUCAUUCCAACCAGCUUCAGGGACAAAUUCCAAUGCUUCCAGGAUUGGCCACUUAUCUGGAUUAUUCGAGAAACAACUUCAGCUCUAGCAUACCGGCAGACAUUGGUGAUUUCCUUAUGUACACAGUGUUCUUCUCUCUUUCAAGCAAUAAGUUCCAAGGCAGCAUUCCAGAAUCAAUCUGCAAGGCGUCAUAUCUUCAGGUUCUUGAUUUGUCCAAUAAUUCUCUAGGUGGAACGAUUCCCUGGUGCUUGACUGAGAUAAGCAGGACACUGGCAGUACUUAAUCUGAGGAGAAACAGACUUGGUGGCUCUGUCCCUAAUAGAUUUCCACAGCAUUGUAGUUUAAAAACUCUCGACCUCAGUGGAAAUCAGAUAGCAGGUCUAUUUCCAAAAUCUCUUGCCAACUGCACAAUGCUAGAGGUUCUAAACAUGGGAAACAAUCAGAUAAUGGAUAUCUUUCCUCGCUUGUUGAGGAAUAUAUCCUCCUUGCGUGUCCUAGUUUUGCGAUCCAACCACUUUUAUGGACAAGUUGGAUGUAACACGACCAGUGACGCCUGGCCAAAGCUUCAAAUUGUUGACAUAGCUCACAACAAUUUUAGUGGUGAAAUACCAGGAAGAUGUUUGAUAACCUGGUCAGCAAUUAUGGCUGACGACGAUGAUGCCAUGGCAAAGAUCAAUCAACUCCAAUUUCUAGUUCAACAGUUCAGUCAGGUAUAUUAUCAGGAUACUAUAACAGUUACCAUCAAAGGUCUAGAGUUGGAAUUGGUAAAGAUCUUAACAGUCUUCACCUCGAUUGACUUCUCCUGCAACAAAUUCAAUGGAUCAAUACCUGAGGAAGUGGGAGACCUCAAAUCACUCUAUGGCCUAAACUUGUCUAGUAAUGUUUUCACAGGUACAAUCCCAUCAUCACUGGGUAACCUACGACAGCUUGAGUCCUUGGACCUUUCAGACAACAAAUUGAGCGGAGAAAUUCCCCAAGAGCUUGUCAAACUUAAUUUCCUCUCGUUCCUGAAUCUCUCAAACAAUCAACUGAAUGGGAAGAUUCCAACUGGCACUCAGAUUCAAUCUUUUGCACCAGAUUCUUUCGCUGGCAAUAAAGGAUUGUGGGGGCCUCCUUUGACAGUUGAUAUCACCUCACGAUUGCCACCACCACUAGAAAAAGGUCAUUCUAAUGCUCAACCUGAGAUUGAUUUUGAUCUUAUAAGUACUGAGAUUGGAUGUAUCUUCGGCUUUGGAGCUGUCAUCGGGCCACUCGUGUUCUGCAAGAGAUGGCGGAAAUGGUAUUACAAAACUGUGGAGAGCAUCUUCUUUAAAGUAUUUCCUCAACUUGAAGAAAGAAUCGGUCCUCACCGAAGACAUGUUCACAUAACUCAAAGGCCGAGACGUUGAAAUUAUUAUGAGGAUUGAGGAGCAAUGCAGCUGGCCUCCUUGUCAUGAUUGUGUUCUGUAAGAAAUAAGAUAUUUGCUUCUGCUGUCCCAUAAUUAUAAAUUACGAGAUGUAGUGUGAGCUUGUUCUGUUACUUUUUUAUAUUUUGAUGUUGGAAACUUUAUUAGUAAAUGUGGAUUAGAGUUGUCUGCAUUCCAUUCUUGUUUUUGAACGCCAGGAUUAUCAAUGUUUUUAAACAAUAUUUCAGUCGUCUUUCCAGUACAGGAAUCAGCAUUGCUCGCUAUAAGAUCGACAUAUUAGCGAUUAAAUUUUCGAAGUAUGGAAUUUGACACAUAAAAACACAAACCAAAAACAGAAAUAAACAAAAUUGGCGAUGCAAGCAACAUUGAAUCAAUAUAGUUUUACUUAAAUCGCGCUUCAUUUGACUCUGUUUUCACUUGUUUGGUUUUGGUUCUUAGCUUUCUUUCUUUCGUGGUUUCUCCUCUUGUUUGUAUUCUUCUGUUUGUUUGUUAUCAUGAACGUUCACUCUGUUUUAGCUUUGAUUUUUCCUGAUGAAGACUUGGUAGUCUUUGAUACAAUGUAAGGCCGCCACCGCAACAAUACUAGCAAAGCGGGGAAAUUUCUUCGUAUUUCGGUGACUUACAGCAUGUUGAAUCUCCACUUCUUUCUGGAUUAGCUGUGAGCCUUUGGCAUCUAUGAAGUGAGUUGAAGAGCCUUACAUAAAGCUAUCUAAACUAUUUAAGAAUCAGUCCGUCUCCUCACGCGAGAGUUGGGAGGGGUGUACGGGCGAAAUGUCACCCUCUCUUCUCCAGCUGCCUGCGUAAUUCAUCACCUUAAUCAAUAAUCUGUGGACAUCGAAUAAAACAGCUUACUUGUAGUAGAUUGUAAACCCCACUAGGAAAAUGGGGAAAGACUUCGACGUCGACAAGUCAAGCAAGCAACAAGUCUCGUAGAAACCUUCUCCACAAAGUUAAACCCACCAUAUACCUUACCAUCACCACAGGUCCUCAGUUUUCCUUAGCCUCUCAAAGAGGAAUACAAUGAUAAAUAAGUCAAUCCCUUAAUGCAAUCUCAUUUGUCCACAAUAUCAGAGUCUCAAUCCAACUAUACACAUUAAUGCAUGCGAAUUAGUAGCCAACGAACAAGUAAAAUUACGAAAAUGAAAAAGGAAAUCUAUGCAUGAAUGACUACGUACCGUUGAUUUUUCAUUUGUGACAAGUGCUGAAGAUAUUCCUAAUACCCUGAGCCUACACUCUUUACUACAUUUUCUGUCCCAUAUCAGCAAGAGCAUCGAUGAAAACUCCUCCAAUUUCAUGGCUUUUCUUGAUGCUCAUUUCCUAUGCCUCACUCAGCUUCCAUACAUUUGUGGUCUCUAGCCAAUGUCAUCCCAGCGAUCAACGAUGAUUGUUGUUGCAAUUGAACAACAGCCUCGAAUUUGACCCUGCACAAUCUAACAAACUUGUGCGGUGGAAUAAUGGCUCAGAUUACUGUUCUUGGGAAGGUGUCUCCCGCAAAGAUGGUUGUGUUUCUCAUCUUGACUUAAGCAGCGAGUCAAUUUCAGGUGGACUCAACAAGUGCUCUUUUCCAUCUGCAGUACAUCGAGGACCUAAAUUUGGCUUACAAUGACUUCAACUACACUCAGAUUCCAUCCGAGUUUGGGCAGCUAACCGGUUUGAGUAGUCUGAACUUGAUGAAUGCUGGCUUCGCGGGGCAGGUUCCGAUUGAGAUUUCGUACUUGACAAGGUUGGUAACUCUUGAUUUGCAAGAGAAGAUCUUCCAGGUACCUACACUGCAGACUAUUGAUUUAUCACGCAAUCAACAGCUACAGGGUUCCUUAACAGAAUUUCCAAAGAAUGCAUCUCUUCGGUCCUUGGUUCUACGCGGGGCUAACUUUUCGGGGUUACUACCGAACUCUAUUGGCAACCUCAAAAUGUUGUCCAAGAUAGAUAUUUCCAGCUGCAAUUUCACUGGAUCAAUCCCAAGGUCAAUAGCCAUUAUGCUUGGCUUCAUCAAAGCCCUAGCUUUUCUGGUUUCAAAUUUCCAAUACCCAGCGAAUAAGAAGCCGUCUGAUGAAAUCGAAGAGCUGAUUCUGUUCUUAGUAAGAUAUAUGCAUGAUAAAGUUUCAGAAUACACUAGAAGAUAUGUCUGCGCGUUGCUGCAGGAAUUGAAUAUAUUAGUUGCGACAAGCAUGAAUAAUUUCCACACAAACUAAAACGACGGUUUAGUACCUAAGAACCAAUGAAGUAAAACUUUGCUUGCUAUAUGCAUGCUAUAAGAAAGCAUUCACUUGUAGAUCGUAUUGUACCAUCAGUAUUAUACUCAUAGUUUCAAGUGCUCAACUUACUAUAUGGGGAAAAACACAGAAAUGGGAAAGCAGAAAGGUAGAAGACAUAAUAUUUGAGCAUUUGGCAGGAAUAGUAAGUUUCUAAAAAAAUUGCUAAACUAUCACAAAUUCAAUCAUUAAACAUUACAUUGUGACCUAAGAUAAAGAUAAAUUAUAUAGUUCGUUCACAAAUCAAAACAAAGUGCUAUCAAAGGAAAAUGUUUAAGAUGAUGAAAAUAAAAAACUGGACUCGGCAACCAUAUUUCCUAUCGGUAACCAAACGAAUAAUUUAGAAUGAUACAAACCCAAUUCUAGCUCAUCUGGUUGCUCUCAUCCUCAGCUCUGUAUUUCAAAGGUUGAGUAUCCAUGUUUGCAGAAGUUGCCAAAUAAUCACCAUCUGAAGAUUGAGAAUAACCCACAUUGUUCACAUCGCACAAAAUUUUAUAGAAACGGGGACAAAUUAACAUAUUUCAAGUAAACAUUAAGAUGUAAACAUAUUCAAAGGCUGAGUAGCUGAUUGGAUUCGUUUAAUUUUUCAAAUUCAAUAAAAAUACAAAACGAAAAGGAAUUAAAGAAAAGUUACAGUUUAAGUAUUUUAAAUUAGUGAUUAAUCAACCAGUCAGUCUCCAUAAUCUAUCAAUACCAUGGACAUCAUACAAAAAUUCAAGUAAACCUUGUAAACUAUCAACUCCUCAACUCCAUCACUCUUCCACCAUUGUUUCUAAUUUACCUCUCCUUGGAGCUUUUUGAUUACUAAUUUAUAUACAGCAAAUUGAACUAUCCAUUUCAAAUCAAAUUUACAUGGGCAGAAAAGCAAAACCUAAACUCCCGCCACAUAAAUUAAUUAAUAAUCAAACAAAGAAAAAUUCUUGGAGACCAGAACAAAUCCAAUUGAAUUUUCAUGCGAGUGGUUGUAAUUGCCAAACAAAACACAUAUAUUUAAGUGCCCAAAAUUUAAGCUUUACAUCAUAAUCUAUUCUUGUAACAAAAACAAUUUCUCAGCCGUUGGGUAUUUUCUGUGGCUUUCGAACAAUAGUUGUACUUAUAUAGAAAAAAAGUAAAAUAGUCGAACACAAAUGAAAGAAAGACGGAUCAAAUUAUUAAGAAAUCUAGAGUUGUUAAAAUUCACUUUCAUGUGUAUGAUUCAAACUUCAACACAUUUAUUCUUACAUUUUACCAAUUGUAAGACAUUGCUAAUUGCCAAGAUAGCAAGAUAAUGAAUUCCAUGAACGAAAAAAAUAAAUGACAUGCAACCAAGAAUCUAUGUUAUACUUGAUUUGUGAUUCCAUUAUAAUUUCACACAAAAAAAAAGAUCAAAUUUUGAUUGAAACAUCAAACAAAACAAUCUCAUCUGUUACAGAUUGGACCAACCAAAUAAAGAAUCUAUUGAAAUGGUUGUCAACCUAACUAUAAAGGUGCUUUAUAACAGCGCAAUCAACAUCAUUUGAACCCAUCUAAAAAGAAUCUGAUUGUAUGUUAUAAAUUCCAUGGGUAAUUUGAUUUUGCAAGUUAAAAAGAGUCGAAAAAUAUUGAAAAUUACUAAACCCCAUCACAACAUCGCAUCAGCAAAGAUGCAAAUCCAAAUGUAAGCUGUAGGAGAGUGACAAUUGCAUAAAGAAUAUGAUAAUAGGAAGCAUAAAUGGGAUAUUGAGGAUCUCAAGUAAAUUCGCAACAACACAAAACCCAACCAGCAACAAUUCGUUCAUGACAUCUUAAAACACCAAAUUUCGUCCUGAAAACAGGACAUUUAAUGCAGAAAGCUUAAAACUUUGCCUCCCAAAACUAACAUCUGAGAAAGCAUUGCAAUUUUUAUCUUUAAAAGCAUGAAUGGUGAACUUAAUAAAAGAAUAAGAAUCUGCAAUGAACUAAUAAAAAUACAAUUUCUAUAAACAUUAUUUGCACAAAAAAUAAUUGUAUUGAGAAACUCACCAUCCUACUUCUCACGAUGAUGCAUGAUGAUAAAACCAAUUAGUGGGUGCACUGAAAUAUAUUCACAGGCCCAUUAAACGCACGAACAUCAUAUAGUGAAUUGCACAUAAAGUACAACAUUAUCAAGUAUACCUCGAGGCGGCAUUGAAUACGAUCAUUAUAAAGUCUUCAUCUCUGACACCAAAAGCACUCAGCAUCUCAGAACACACAUUCAUUAUACAUUUCUCUAAUAACUAAUCAACUACCUGAAUUUAAAAUUAGCUUCCAAACCAAAAAAGUUCUGAACUUUUAAUUCUGCAAUCACACUCAGUUCUUCAUCUCUUACUCUAAAUCCCAAUUACAGAAAUAUCUAAACAUUACUUCAAUUUAAUAUUGAUUUCCCCCAAAAUAGCACAAUCCCACAAAAAAAAUACGUUUAAAAAAAACAACAUAUCAUAAUUAAAUUAAACUUCUCACCUCCACCUCCAGUAGAGCUUUCACAUUCUCAACCUAUCACAAAAAAAUAAAAUCAAAUUCACAUUAAAAAAGGGAGAUCUUCAACUUCCAAAUUAAUUGACAGAACUAUAAAAUCAAUUAAGGGUUUCUGCUGAAGUGAAAAGUAAGGGUUUUACAUUCUUGUGAGGAUCGACGUUUAAGGAGAGGAUCUGUUCGUCUUCGGUGAUCAUUGUGAACUUCAUCUUCUUUAAUCCGUCGUAAAAAAACAACAAUAAAUCAAAAAUUAAAUUAAAACUUCUCACCUCCACCUCCAGCAGAGCUUUCACAUUCUCAACCUGUCGCAAAAAAAAUCAAAUCAAAUUCAAGUAAAAAUAAAAAAGAGAACUUGAAUAUAGCAACCCUACUCCCCCUCUCACAGUUUAAUAUGUAAGGAAGUUGGAAUCCAAUCAUGUUAAAUUCACCCUUUUAAACGCCACAAUUUAUCUAAUAAAAAGAGAAAUUGAAAGGAAAAAAAAAAAAACCUAAAACGGAAAGUAGUGAUCGUAAGCUUCCUCUACUAUCAUUUUUUGCCUAAACUCUGUGAAUUAAUCGGAAACGAAGGAAAACUAAGAACUUGAUUAAUUGAGUGAUUAAGAAAACAUCGACUUGGUUAACUUGAUAUAUAAAAGCUGAACUCAUUGAAAGAUGCUUCACAUACAUCAUGCAUCCACCGUCUAUUUCCAGAAAAAUGAUACAUUAUCUGGAUAACAGCACCUAGUAAUGAAUUGAUAUCAAAAAUCCCACAAAACCAUCCACAAAUACAUAUUUCACUAUAAAGCAUGAAAUGAGAAAGAUUAAGGCUCAAAGGUAACUGUUGGGUGAAGUGCAACGAAUUCGAAUGAUGGCGCUAAGUAAGAGGACCUUGUUUCAGAAAUGAAUGAUGUUGAGGCUAGUGGGAAGCUCCACCGAUUCCGCCAUAUUUGCAACUUGUAGUGAGCGGAAAGAAGAAGAAACAGAAAGGAGAGUCAGAGGAUGAGCUAGAGAAAACAGGCAUUACCAUAUAAGUGCCCUAAACCAAAAACAAAAAAACUUAAACACAGAAUUAUGGAUGUCGUUGGAGACCAUUUUAAAUGAAACAAAUAAAUAUUGGGAAGCACUCAUUGUCAAACUAACCUGACGAACUUCUCUUGCUGAAAAUUCAUGACUACAACUUAUUUUCUAGAAUCUCCAAACGAAAAGUUAACCUCUGAAUGUUUGGAUAACCCGAAGAACUUCCUCAUGCACCACCAUGUUCCCAAAAGCAGUCCCCUGACAACGAUUCAAAGUGAAAUAAAGUGAAUUCAACAUAGAAACUUCUAUAAUUUCACAUGUUUCCUAAAAUUACUUGGCUAGGUGUUCAUAAAAGGGGAAACUUUUUCUGAAGUCCAAGAGCAAUAUCAAAGUGUCAUUUGCCCCAAUUCAAGAAGCAAAAUCGCACUAAUACUAAAUAUCCAUACAAAAAUAUCUUCAUUUGAGCAAUAUCCCCCUAAAUUUAGCAUCCACUGUUUUCAUACAUUCAUAAAUUCAUUGCUACCAACAAAAUGUAAUAAAUAAAUAAAAUAUAAAAUAAGGUCAAAAUUGGACCAUCGGGACCCCUUGGAUUCAAAUUUUUGAACCAAAAAUCAAAUAAUUUCAACAAGAAGUGAUAUUUUGGAUUUCCAAUUUCAUAUCCUUUCAAGAAAAGAUCAAAAAACUACAUUGUUAACAUUCCCAAACACUGAAAAUCCAAUCUUUGGGGGAAAUCCAUGAGAGCAUACAGUUGCAUCAGUCAAAAUAUAUUCCUUACCUCAACUAAUUGGAUUAACCAAUAGAGCUAAUUUUUAUGAUAUUUAGUUAAUUACACAUCUAGAGCUAUCAGCUAUAGCGAAUCUUUUAUCUCCAACCUUAAAUAUUACUCCCUUAAUUAGUGCUUCUUUUCAUACCACAACAUUGAAUACGAUUAAUUAGGUGCUACAUCAGUGGUGAUUUGUGAGGACCACUAUACUAAUUAAAUUGUACAAUACAAUUUCAAGAUCUAAUUGCAACAACUCGAAAUCAUAGCAAGACGAUCAAUCGACACAAGAAAGAGACCUUAAGAGCGGGGAUCAUUUUUCCUUGAAUAUGAAUCCGCAUCAUGUACCCAACUAAGAUAUAAAUCCCCAUAAAUCCAUAUCUGGAAAGUACUAAAAUACCCAAAACAAAUAUAUAUAUAUAUAUAUAUAUAUAUAUGAGGGAUUGGAUGAGGAAGUCUAAAUAUACCAGUAAUGGCGAGUGGUGAGGAUAAGCUUGAUACUGACACCAUGUUCUUGGGCUGCUUUCAGAACCCUCUCAGGUUCAACUGAAUCCACAACCGCUGCUUUUUUGGUACUCUCGUCAAUAAUUCUAAACACCAAUAACAAUUGAAUUUAGAACUGAGCAAUAUUUAAGCAUAAUUAAUUAAUAAAACCCUAAUUAGGAUAAUCAGAAAUUGAGAUGAAAAGGGUGGAUACAACCUUUUUGCUUUAAAAAACAUGCUAUAAAUUUGUUCCGCACUUAGAAAUACAGGAAAUUAGAGAAUUUUAAUCAAGUGUUCGCAAGCGAAUGACAUUACCUGCAUCCCAUUCAUGAAACCAAGGCUUAUACACCCAAACUAAAAGGCAAAGCCCUUGAAUGCAUCUCCUGGGGCUAAAUCAACAGAAAAAAGUUAAUACCUGAUCAUUCACAUUUAUUUAUAUAUCAUAUACCAACACGUUAAACUCAGUCGCAAUGGGUGUAUCAAAACCUGCUACAUAAAAUCAGUCGCAGAAAAACAUUGCCAAGAAAUGAAAAUCAAACAAAAUGGGCAACUCAGAUGUUAAAAGAGAACACAAUUAUCUAAGAUUCCCAAACUCCUUCAAACACAUAAAUUUUCUAGACUGAAAGAGAACUGUUACUUAGAAAUCUGUACCAUGUAAUUGGGGCUGUACACGGGCUCCAUUUUGUACACCGCCAUGUUCCGCAGAAGCAAUACUAGAAUCCUUAGUGUUCAUAGUGGCUACACUUGCUCUGGAUUGUCCUCCUUGUGCAUUGUUAUUAUGCUACUUAAAACUGAAUAUUUGAAAUAAAAAUCAUCAAACCCUAAAAUUUCCAACAAUCUCAAAAUUUCCAAAAUGCAUUAAAAACCUCAAUUUGAAAUAGUAAUCCCAAGCAAUAUAAUUGCAUAGAUUGUAAAAGUGAAGAAAAACUGAUCAGGAAUAAACCCUACACAAAAACACAUAUGCAAAUAAGUAGAUAUGACACACACACAUAUAUAUAUAUGCACCUACGGUUGGAGGAGAUGGAAGGGCCAAGCCCAUCGGUGCCGGUGCCCAUAGGGUAAGCGGGUGAGUAUCCCCUGUGGAAAAUAUGAAAUCUUGUGAAAAGAGCGCAUGUGGGAAAGAACAAUAUCAGCAUUGAACGCAUAGAACCUGCAGCAGUAAUAACAUUCAAAAAAGUAUUUGUUCUAUGCGACACAAUAAAAGAAAUAACAGUGAGCCAUAAAAAGUAAAAAUAAAAAAUCGGGGAUUGUAAAUUGUAAUCCAAUCACCCAAUAAAAAAAAGAAAUUAAGCACAACAAUAUCAAAAUUAAACGGAAGGAAUAAUAUGAAACAUUGUGCAUAGAACGCUCGUGAGAAUGAAUCACACAACAAUCAAGGGUGGACAAAUCACAAACGUGACAACUAAAGGGCACCUAACGGACACCCCCAUCUCUCUCUCUGCAACGGCAAUUGCAAAAAUCCCUCGGGUUUCAGGAAGCAAAUGGAAAACGAAGUGCUUUUCCAUCCCCUACCCAUACCCAUACCUCCCUUGCCCGUUCCCUUUACCCUCAUAGAAAAUCGUCCCAUCUCUCGCUCUGCAAAUCGCAGAAAGAAACCCUAAACAAAUCCAUGAAAUCCCUCACCUAAAUCCUCCCACAUCUCUCUCGGACACCCCUAUCUAUCUCUUUGCAAACCCUAAACCAAAUCUCCUAAAUCCUAUCUCGGACACCCCACAAACAGCCAAGAAGCCAAAGAUAUUAAAGCAAUCUCUACAUAAUACUUUGGAACAGUGAAGCAAACUGGUACUUACUUUUCCUUGUCCAAAACCGUUGGUGCCGCUGUACAUUGUUAUCAAUUGUGGGUCUAACAAAUCCCUCAUGGCUUAGACUGCAUGAAGAAUUAAAAACAAAAAGAUGAAUAUAUGAUGUAAAUCAUCAUAUAAAUGUAACUGCAUUUAAAAAAAAGAAGGGAAUGAUAAAAUCGAAUUCUAUUUCAUCAGCAUACUGCAUGAAAAGUUACAUUGAAUGCAGACUCAAUCAAUUUCCCCAAAGUUAUUGUUAACUGAAAAUCAAUACCAAACCCAUAAAUACCACCAUUGAAUUUGGCAAAACCCAAAAACAAAAUACAAAAAUUUACUCAUAUAAUCACAGAAAAACAUGAAAUUUGAGCACCCAUUUGGCCAAGUUAAAGGAUAAAGGCACUCACAUCAUCGAAGUACUGUUUGAGAAGACCUUCUAAUACUAGUUCUUCCUUUUUCGUGCUCUUCCGCAGAACUGCCAUAAAAAAACCGGAGAAGCAUACAAAUUCAGAAAAGGAAAGGACCAAAACUGCCAUAAAAAAUCCAGAAAGCAUACAAAUUUAUCAGAAAGAAAAGUUCAAAUUACAAAAACCAACUGAUGUGAGUGAGUAGUGAGAGAUUGUGUUAGGCACCUGAAACACGUUUUGGUUUCAAUUGAGAGGGCCAGAGCCUUGCAUGCGAGGAAGAUGACGCUAGGAUUCCAGAGACAGAGAAAGGAGGAGUAAGACGACGGAGGCGAGAGGAGGAUAGGACAGAGGCGAGACCGUCUGUGUCGUGGGUCUGCGAGACGGAGGAGGCAAGGAGGGUUUGAGAAGCAGAUGGAAAAGGCUGGCUUUACCAUCGUUUUUCCCUUCCCGCGAUCAUCAAAGCGUGUGCAUCAAGAUCAGCGGAACUGAUAGCCUGUGGCAGACUCGUAAAUAAAGUGAAAUUGAGCCACUAAAAUCAGCAUGGUGGCAAACUCGUAAAUAAAGUAAAUUUGAGGCAAAAUUGUAGGUGACUUGCUCAAUUGUCGAAUAUUGUCAUGUAAUCUUAUUGUUAAUAUUUACAUCUUUCCAAAAGUUUUUUGUGAAGUUUGAAUGAAUGUGAAGCUUCAACUUCUACCAAAUUUAUUUCGACUUUAAUCUCAUUUAUUGGCAUAACUGAUUGUUUUAAGACGUAAAAUCAUAAUUUAAAACUUAUACUUUCUCGCCAUUAGAUCGGUUAAUCGCUUCACCGGCCACAAUCUAAUACUUAAAACCUAAAAUCAGAGCUCUAAAGACAAUUACCCCUCGUAACCAACCGGAUCAAAAUUGAAGAAAAUUGUACAGCUUAGAGUGGACUUGUAGAUGAGUGAGCUAACUGAUAAGUUGAAAUUUCAAGUCCGUUGUUACUUGGUAGUGACAACCUAUCUACCUUUGCCUAACGGGCAGGAAGACUCAGGGUGUGCUAGUCUAAAAGGGAAACCGGGGCAGUUGGGGUAGGACACAUCGCAUUGCAUGGGACCCUUUUGACUCUUUUAGGCAGAAUAUUUAACAACUACAUAGACUCCAAGAAUGGGGGACCACAUAUAUCAAACGACUCCUUUUAAUCCCUUUUUUUUUUUUUUUUUAGUUGAACGAUAUUGUCGUUAAGUUAGAAAUUAGAUUUGCUACUGACAGAACUUGAAUCCAUAUCAUCAUACAAGAGCUUCACUCAUCUGCCUCACUGUGGUAGAGGGUCACCUGCUACUUUUAAUCCUUUUUACUUUCUAAACUGGUAUGAAACUCCAAUCAUUAACCUUAUUUUUUGAUUUUUGGAUGUAUGUUUUGGUGCAAAUACGAGUCCGGGAAUGUUUGGGAUUGUUUCUGAUUGUAUUUGAUAGAAAAGUUAAAAAAGUGUUUACAAUUCCUUCUGAAAAGUGUUUAUGAGCUAUAAAAGCAUUUUUUUGAAGAACUUGUCAAAUGUGAAACACUUUAAAAAACUUUUUGAGGAAGCACUUGGAGUUGUGAUAAAAAAAAAACUUCAACUUGUUUCUCAUACCGACAAAAUUGCAUGACUUUCGCUCUUUACCAACAACGACACUGAAAUCAGCUUCACAAUCAUCCAUAAUUACAAAAACAAAAAUAAAAUUUAUCCAUCUCUUCGAAGAAUUGACAUCCAAUUCGAGAUGGCCGACUUGUCAAUAACUUCACACUUUCUAAAUUAUUUAAUCCGUCGGGUGCCGAAAUCAACACUUCUGACCAAGAAAAUGAUGCAUUCCAAAUUAGAAAUUCGCAUGUUCAUCGUUUAACGCGCAAAGCAUCAAUUUGAAAACCAAAAGAGUGAAGAUAUUUUGUAUAAAUAACGUAUGUACAUACUUUUCAGCAAUACGAUUCAGGGUAGCAUAUUACAUUUUAUUAGUUUAGCCCUAAAAUACUGUUGUUGAAACAUGCAAACGAAUCCUACUUAACUUUAAAAAUCUAAUACCCAUCACGGGGUGGCUCAAUAGACGGGUUCGAAUUUCAGUCUUGUAUUUCAUACAGUAUGUGUUCAAUUCUUGCCGCUAGCAAAUUACACAAUGAUAGCUAGAAAGAAGCUGAAAUUUUUAUGUGAGUCUUUCCUAUCUCCAAAAUGAAGUCUAUUUCUUUAUUAAAAAAAACUUUAAAAAUCUAAUUAUUUAACGAUGAUGACGGUCUGGUUUUGCAACAACCACGAUUACAAGAAUUGAUUAAUAUUUGAGAGACAGCCACAGUUAGCCGGAAUUGAAGACUAUUUGAGAGACAGCCACAGUUAGCCGGAAUUGAAGACUGAUUCUUCUAAUUAUUUUUCUAAUUAUGCUACAAUGCUAUAUUAUUGUUAAUAUUUGUUAAUGGGUAAUACAUGAGAUGCUAUGAUUAUGUUUCCCAGAAUUAUUUAAACUUUAAAAAAUCAAUUAGCUUUUGAUCUAUAGUAGUAGUCUUCACUUGACUUCAUGAGGGUUCGACUAACUUGUGAUGAGUUCAAUACCCGAUUGUUAUGUAAUUUGUUGCGUAUGUGUUGGUUAAUGACAUACCUAAUUAUUAUGUACUUUGUUGAGUAUGUGUUGGUCCAUUGUCAUUAAGAAAUUUUUUCUGCAUCAAUAAAACAAUCCUUUUAGUUUUAUGUAUCAAAUUUUGGGCCAAUUAAAGUGAUUCAUCUUUUUUUUUUUAACAAACGAUAUUAUCUACACAAGGGAAAUAUGAUGGGUUUAACCUUACAAUUGGCUAAUAAUAAUGUGAUUCAAAUUCGACUUUAUUGAGAAUCGAACCUAAGACCUCUCACUUACAAAUGAAGAAGAAUAUCACUAGACUGUAGUUCUAAGUAGCCAAGUGAUUCAUCUUAAACUAAAUGAUGUAAUGGCUGAUGAUUGGAUUAUAUUACAUAAGUGUUAAUCAAUAUGCUUAUUUCCUAUGAUUAACACAUCAUUUAGUUUGCAAAUUAAAAUUUUAGUUUCACCGAUCUUUCCCAACAUGACUACAAGUGAGCUUCUCCUAACGCGGAGAUAAAACGUUAUAAUACACAGAGCCCCACCAUUGCAAUAAUAUCUCCAUGAACUUCUUAUUUUUUCAAUAAAAAGAAUUAAAUUUAAGGACAACUAAUGAAAAUGGCUUGAAAACUUUGAGUUUUAACGAUAAGGACAAAAUAAAGGGUAAAGUGAAUAGUAUCAAAUUUAACAUUUUAGUGUAAAAAUAUGAUUUUUCGUUAAAUUAAACAGUGUGAUGGGUUUUUUGUUAUAACUUCCUUAAAUUUAUCCAAACGCAUUGAUUGGAUCAAGAAAGGGAAUGGUUAUUUUUCCACAAUACAAAACAAGAAAGUCAACAACCAAUCCGCGAAGAGACGAACACCAUUUGGGAGCUUUGAAUAUUCCAUGUUUGCAACUUGCCGCAAGUAAUCUAAGGCCGCCCAGAGGAAGAGCGUACGAGUCAAACAUUAUACAAACGGGCACACGCGUUUCAGGGACUCUUCUUUCAGAUCCCCAUCCCAACAAUUCUCUCCGUUUUUUCUUCCUCUGAAUUCUUCGUCCUUCCGUGCUAACUCCGCUGGAUUUUCGUCCGGCCAAGGACCCGAAUCCAAGGCCCAAAAGGGUCUUUUCAUGGAUCUUUGCCUUCAUGUAUCCAUUGAGAAAGUUCUAGCCCGCUCUGCUUCCUUUUCUCAGAGAUUUCAAUGAAAAUUUCUCUGUUUUCAUGGCUUUUCUUAAUACCCUUUUACUACUGUUCCAUCAGCAUCAACGUAUUUCUCGUCUACGGCCAAUGUCCCGGCGAUCAGCAAUCUUUGCUGCUACAAUUGAAGAACAAUCUCACAUUUGACACUGCAACAUCUAAGAAACUUGUCAGGUGGAACAACGGCUCGGAUCACUGCUCUUGGGAAGGAGUGUCCUGCAAAAAGGGUUGUGUUUCGAGUCUGGACUUGAGCAGCGAGGAAAUUACUGGUGGACUUGAUAAUUCGAGUUCUCUUUUCGGUCUCAAGUCAAUCGAGUACCUGAAUUUGGCUUACAAUAACUUCCAGAAUGCUCAGAUUCCAUCGGAGUUCAAGCAGCUAACCGGUUUGAGUAAUCUGAACUUGUCGAAUGCUGGCUUUGCGGGUCAGGUUCCGAUUGAGAUUUCACACCUGACGAGGUUGGUAACUCUUGAUUUGUCUACCUUUUAUUUAUUUUCCCCCGGAACUCCGUCGUUGAAUCUUGAGAAUCCGAAAUUGGAUGUGCUGCUUAGGAACUUUUCUGAGCUUGUUGAACUUUAUCUUGAUGGUGUGAGUAUAUCAGCACAGGGGACUGAGUGGUGCCAAGCGAUAUCAUCUUCAUUGCCAAACUUGAGGGUAUUGAGCUUGUCCACUUGUAACCUUUCAGGCCCUAUUCAUAAUUCAUUACUGAAGCUUAAGUCGCUCUCAGUUAUUCGGAUUGAGAACAACAAUUUGUCUACUCAUGUUCCGGAGUUCUUCUCGAAUUUCUCGAAUUUGACUUCCUUACGAAUCAUGAAUUCGGGAUUAAAUGGUUCAUUCCCAAAGAAGAUCUUCCAGGUGCCGACACUGCAGACUAUUGACUUAUCCGGUAAUCCGCAGCUUCAAGGUUCCUUACCAGAAUUUCGGAAGAACGGAUCUCUUCGAUCGCUGGUUCUCAAUGGGGCAAAUUUCUCAGGCCAGAUGCUUCCGAACUCUAUUGGGAACCUCAAAUUGCUGUCCAAAAUAGAUAUUGGAAAUUGCAAUUUCACUGGAUCAAUCCCAAAGUCAAUGGAAGACCUUACACAGUUGGUUUAUUUGGACUUGUCGAUGAACAAGUUCAAUGGUUCAGUUCCAUCUUUC
rnacentral:lncRNA from 1 species